AACGAGGACAGAUUUGACUGCUUGCAACCUCAAGAAAAAAUGCUAAAACGA
rnacentral:ncRNA from 1 species